rnacentral:rRNA from 1 species
ACAUGCCUACAAAAUAGCUUUAAUGCAUCGGAUCCCAUUAGAACUCCCUAGUUAAGCGUGUUCAGUCUAGAGUAGUACUGGGAUGGGUGAGUGCCCGGGAAGCCCUAGUGUUUUACAUGCC